CGGCAACAGCUCAAAUUUGAAAUCUGGCUCUUUUAGGGUCCGAGUUGUAAUUUGGAGAGGAUGUUUCGGGUACGGUCCGGGCUUAAAUUUCUUGGAACAGAAUGUCAAAGAGGGUGAGAAUCCCGUCUGGAGCUCGGGCACGGCCUAUGUGAAACUCCUUCGACGAGUCGAGUUGUUUGGGAAUGCAGCUCUAAAUGGGUGGUAAAUUUCAUCUAAAGCUAAAUAUUGGCCAGAAACCGAUAGCGCACAAGUAGAGUGAUCGAAAGAUGAAAAGCACUUUGAAAAGAGAGUUAAAAAGUACGUGAAAUUGUUGAAAGGGAAGCGCUGGCAACCAGACUUGCGCGUCGGGGUUCCCCCUUGCUUCUGCUUGGGUUACUCCCCGGCGUUCAGGCCAACAUCGGUUUCGGGGGUUGGUUAAAGGCCUUGGGAAUGUACUUACCCUCCGGGGUAAACUUAUAGCCCAGGGUGUCAUGCGACCUCCCGGGACCGAGGAACGCGCUUCGGCUCGGAUGUUGGCGUAAUGGUUGUCAGCGACCCGUCUUGAAACACGGACCAAGGAGUCUAACAUCUAUGCGAGUGUUAGGGUGUCAAACCCUCACGCGGAAUGAAAGUGAACGGAGGUAGGAAGCCAUUAGGCUGCACUAUCGACCGAUCCUGAAGUUUACGGAUGGAUUUGAGUAAGAGCAUAGCUGUUGGGACCCGAAAGAUGGUGAACUAUGCCUGAAUAGGGUGAAGCCAGAGGAAACUCUGGUGGAGGCUCGCA
rnacentral:rRNA from 1 species